rnacentral:rRNA from 1 species
CCUUGUACANACCGCCCGUCAAGCCACGAAAGCUGGGAGUACUCGAAGUCGUUUGCCUAACCCGCAAGGGAAGGCGAUGCCUACGGUAAGACCAGUGAUUGGGACU